rnacentral:rRNA from 1 species
UACGGAGGGUGCAAGCGUUACUCGGAAUCACUGGGCGUAAAGAGCGCGUAGGCGGGAUAGCAAGUCAGAUGUGAAAUCCUAUGGCUUAACCAUAGAACUGCAUUGGAAACUGUAUUUCUAGAGUGUCGGAGAGGCAAGUGGAAUUCCUGGUGUAGCGGUGAAAUGCGUAGAUAUCAGGAGGAACACCAGUGGCGAAGGCGGCUUGCUGGACGAUGACUGACGUUGAGGCUCGAAAGCGUGGGGAGCAAAAAGG